rnacentral:rRNA from 1 species
CAGCACCUCAAGUGGUCAGGAUGAUUAUUGGGCCUAAAGCAUCCGUAGCCGGCUCUAUAAGUUUUCGGUUAAAUCUGUAUGCUCAACAUACAGGCUGCCGGGAAUACUGCAGAGCUAGGGAGUGGGAGAGGUAGACGGUACUCGGUAGGAAGGGGUAAAAUCCUUUGAUCUAUUGAUGACCACCUGUGGCGAAGGCGGUCUACCAGAACACGUCCGACGGUGAGGGAUGAAAGCUGGGGGAGCAAACCGGAUUAGAUACCCGCGUAGUCC